rnacentral:rRNA from 1 species
AGUGAACGCUGGCGGUAGGCCUAACACAUGCAAGUCGAACGGCCGCACAGUAAGAGCUUGCUCUUAAGGGUGGCGAGGGGCGGGCGGGUGAGGAAUACAUCGGAAUCUACUUUUUCGUGGGGGAUAACGGAAGGAAACUUACGAUAAUACAGCAUACGAUCUACGGCUGAAAGCAGGGGAGCUUCGCACCUUUCGUGAUUGAAUUAGACGGAGCCGGAUUAGAUAGUCGGCGGGGUAAAGGACCACCAAGGCAACGAUACGUAGCUGACCUGAGAGGAUGAUCGGCCACACUGGAACUGAGACACGGUCCAGACUCCUACGGGAGGCAGCAGUAGGGAAUCUUGCGCAAUGGGCGAAAGCCUGACCCAGCAAUGCCGCGUGGGUGAAGAAGGUCUUCGGGUCGUAAAACUCUUUUAUUGGGGAAGAAAAACUGUGGGUUAAACCCCCGCUGUUCUGACGGUACCCAAAGAAUAAGCACCGGCUAACUUCGUG